CCCUUAGGGGAUAUGAUAUAUUAUUGUCGAACCGUGUCAGAUCUGGAAGGAAGCAGCACUAAGAUUUAUAGUAUAUGCAUGUCUUCCUAGGGGUAUC
rnacentral:SRP_RNA from 24 species